rnacentral:lncRNA from 10 species
UCACCCUCCCCGCCCCACGGGACCCUAGCGCCUCCAUCCCAGUUCCCACCAAGCACCCGCCCCACAAAUCCUGCCCAAGGUGAGGGCUGGUCCCGGGUCUCUCGGCUGCCGCAUCAGCGAGUGCAGGAGGGAGGGGAAGCCUCCAAGGGCGCGACGCGGGCUCAAGGAUGCAACUCGGCCAGGAGUGAACUGGGGCCCCAAGGGAGGUGUCCGGGCCGCUGCUCGAGCCCAGCCCGGGUCCCCAAACCCCUUACCUCCAGGGUCCGUAUCUCCUGCUCGGUGAGGUCGUUGGACACAGCGCACUUGGUGCGCAGCCCGCGCAGGCUGCCAAUGGAGAUGCCGAUGAGCUUCUGGAGCUGUCCGCACUGCUGCAGCCCCGGGCUGGCCGGGGCCCCUGCGCCACCCUCAGCGGCCGCUGCAUCACCCCCGCCACCGCCCUCCUUCUUCUCUCCCAUCGCCUCCGCGCGCAGUGCCGCCCUAUGCAGGCCACAGCGGCCGAGGCAGGGAGCCCGGGGCUCGGGCGCCUAGGCAAGGAACCCCCGAGCCGGGAGAGCCCCUCGGCGCUGCCCUUGCCAGGACGCCAGUAGAGCUGGCAGCGGAGUCUGCCGCUCCCGCCCUCAGAGCCGCGGCGGCGGGAGCAGAAAGCCGCGGCGGCAAAAAGCGGCGGCGGGGGCAAAAAGCCGCGGCGGCAGGGGGCAAAAUGCCGCGGGAGCAAAAAGCCGCGGCGGCGGGGGCAGAAAGUCGCGGCGGCGGGGGGCAAAAAGCCGCGGCGGCGGGGGGCAAAAAGCCGUGGCAGCAGAAAGCCGCGGCGGCGGGCGCAAAAAGCCGCGGCGUCGGGGGCUAAAAGCCGCAAAAAGCCGCGGAGGGGGGAGCGAAAAGCAGUGGGAGCUGGGGCAAAAAACCACAAAAAGCCGAGGCAGCGGCGGCAGAAAACCUCGGCAGCGGGGGCAAAAAGCUGCAGCGGCAAAAAGCGGCGACGGGGGCAAAAAGCCGCGGUGGCAAAAAUGCGCGGCGGCGGGGGAAAAAGCCGCGGCGGAGUGGGGCGAAAAGCAGUGGGAGCUGGGGCAAAAAAACCACAAAAAGCCGCGGCAGCGGCGGCAGAAAACCUCGGCAGCGGGGGCAAAAAGCCACGGUGGCGGGGGUAAAAAGCAGCGGUGGCAAGAAGCCGCGACGGUGGGGGCAAGAAGCCGCGGCGGCCCAGGCAAAAGGCCGCAAAAGCCGCGGCGACGGGGGCGAAAAGCCGCGGCGGCGGAGGCAAAAAGCUGCAAAAGCCGCGGUGUGGGGGCAGAAAGCCGCAGCGGGAGAAAGCCGCGGCUGUGGGGGCAAAAAGCCAUGGCGGCGGGGGCAAAAUAGUGGAAAUGGGGUAGAAGGCCGGCACGGCUUGGCAUUGCUGGAGUGUGAUGUGAUAGGAAAAGUGCAGCCGAAGACAAAAAAAGAUGUGCUGUCAUCUAUAUGAUCUCAGUAUUUUAAAAAUCAGCUUCCAGCCCAUAUGGUGGCUCAUGCUUGUAAUACCAGCAGUUGAAGAGGCUGAAAUGAGAGGAUUCUUUGCACCCAGGAGUUCAAGAGCAACCUGGGCAACGUAGCAAGACCCAGUCUCUAUCAAAAGUUAAAAAAAAAAGGUGGGCAUGGUGAUGUGCACCUGUCGUCCCAGCUAUUUGGGAGGCCAAGGUGGAAGGAUUGCUUGAGCUUGGGAGGUUGAGGCUGCAGUGAGCAGUGAUUGCACCACUGCACUCCAGCCUGGGCAACAAAGCAAUGCCCUAUCUCAAAAAAUAUAUAUAAUAAAAAUAAAAAUCAGCUCUCAUUGAUUUCUGCAUAAAUAUGCACAGGUGAUGUCCAUAUAGACAUAAAUAAUAAUAUAUCUGACAACGGGCCCAUAUGAUCUUCAAAAUGUAAAAUGCCUA